rnacentral:rRNA from 1 species
GCAGGCAAAUCCGGAAAAUCAAGGCUGAGGCGUGAUGACGAGGCACUACGGUGCUGAAGCAACAAAUGCCCUGCUUCCAGGAAAAGCCUCUAAGCAUCAGGUACAUCAAAUCGUACCCCAAACCGACACAGGUGGUCAGGUAGAGAAUACCAAGGCGCUUGAGAGAACUCGGGUGAAGGAACUAGGCAAAAUGGUGCCGUAACUUCGGGAGAAGGCACGCUGAUAUGUAGGUGAAGCGACUUGCUCGUGGAGCUGAAAUCAGUCGAAGAUACCAGCUGGCUGCAACUGUUUAUUAAAAACACAGCACUGUGCAAACACGAAAGUGGACGUAUACGGUGUGACGCCUACCCGGUGCCGGAAGGUUAAUUGAUGGGGUUAGCGCAAGCGAAGCUCUUGAUCGAAGCCCCGGUAAACGGCGGCCGUAACUAUAACGGUCCUAAGGUAGCGAAAUUCCUUGUCGGGUAAGUUCCGACCUGCACGAAUGGCGUAAUGAUGGCCAGGCUGUCUCCACCCGAGACUCAGUGAAAUUGAACUCGCUGUGAAGAUGCAGUGUACCCGCGGCAAGACGGAAAGACCCCGUGAACCUUUACUAUAGCUUGACACUGAACAUUGAGCCUUGAUGUGUAGGAUAGGUGGGAGGCUUAGAAGUGUGGACGCCAGUCUGCAUGGAGCCGACCUUGAAAUACCACCCUUUAAUGUUUGAUGUUCUAACGUUGACCCGUAAUCCGGGUUGCGGACAGUGUCUGGUGGGUAGUUUGACUGGGGCGGUCUCCUCCUAAAGAGUAACGGAGGAGCACGAAGGUUGGCUAAUCCUGGUCGGACAUCAGGAGGUUAGUGCAAUGGCAUAAGCCAGCUUGACUGCGAGCGUGACGGCGCGAGCAGGUGCGAAAGCAGGUCAUAGUGAUCCGGUGGUUCUGAAUGGAGGGGCCAUCGCUCAACGGAUAAAAGGUACUCCGGGGAUAACAGGCUGAUACCGCCCAAGAGUUCAUAUCGACGGCGGUGUUUGGCACCUCGAUGUCGGCUCAUCACAUCCUGGGGCUGAAGUAGGUCCCAAGGGUAUGGCUGUUCGCCAUUUAAAGUGGUACGCGAGCUGGGUUUAGAACGUCGUGAGACAGUUCGGUCCCUAUCUGCCGUGGGCGCUGGAGAACUGAGGGGGGCUGCUCCUAGUACGAGAGGACCGGAGUGGACGCAUCACUGGUGUUCGGGUUGUCAUGCCAAUGGCACUGCCCGGUAGCUAAAUGCGGAAGAGAUAAGUGCUGAAAGCAUCUAAGCACGAAACUUGCCCCGAGAUGAGUUCUCCCUGACCCUUUAAGGGUCCUGAAGGAACGUUGAAGACGACGACGUUGAUAGGCCGGGUGUGUAAGCGCAGCGGUGCGUUGAGCUAACCGGUACUAAUGAACCGUGAGGCUUAACCCG